GGCGAUGACCGUUGCUUGCGUCUUGUCCGAUGAGUUUAUCGAGGACGAACGACAUUGCCUUCUUCUGUGUAGGAUCGUAUGGAUUUAUCCC
rnacentral:sRNA from 1 species